rnacentral:rRNA from 1 species
UACGAAGGGGGCUAGCGUUGUUCGGAAUCACUGGGCGUAAAGGGCGCGUAGGCGGCUUUAUAAGUCGGGGGUGAAAGCCUGUGGCUCAACCACAGAAUUGCCUUCGAUACUGUAGAGCUUGAGACCGGAAGAGGUAAGUGGAACUGCGAGUGUAGAGGUGAAAUUCGUAGAUAUCCGCAAGAACACCAGUGGCGAAGGCGGCUUACUGGUCCGGUUCUGACGCUGAGGCGCGAAAGCGUGGGGAGCAAACAGG